rnacentral:tRNA from 1 species
UCCCUGGUGGCUCAGUGGUAAAGUAUCUGCCUGCCAAUGCAGGGGACCCGGGUUCAAUCCCCAGUGUGGGAA